rnacentral:rRNA from 1 species
CCUACGGGGGACUGCAGUGAGGAAUAUUGGUCAAUGGACGAGAGUCUGAACCAGCCAAGUAGCGUGAAGGAUGACUGCCCUAUGGGUUGUAAACUUCUUUUAUAUGGGAAUAAAAUGUUCCACGUGUGGGAUUUUGUAUGUACCAUGUGAAUAAGGAUCGGCUAACUCCGUGCCAGCAGCCGCGGUAAUACGGAGGAUCCGAGCGUUAUCCGGAUUUAUUGGGUUUAAAGGGAGCGUAGGUGGAUUGUUAAGUCAGUUGUGAAAGUUUGCGGCUCAACCGUAAAAUUGCAGUUGAAACUGGCAGUCUUGAGUACAGUAGAGGUGGGCGGAAUUCGUGGUGUAGCGGUGAAAUGCUUAGAUAUCACGAAGAACUCCGAUUGCGAAGGCAGUUCACUGGACUGCAACUGACACUGAGGCUCGAAAGUGUGGGUAUCAAACAGGAUUAGAUACCCUUGUAGUC